AUACGUAGGGGGCUAGCGUUAUCCGGAAUUACUGGGCGUAAAGGGUGCGUAGGUGGUUUCUUAAGUCAGAAGUGAAAGGCUACGGCUCAACCGUAGUAAGCUUUUGAAACUAAGAGACUUGAGUGCAGGAGAGGAGAGUAGAAUUCCUAGUGUAGCGGUGAAUUGCGUAGAUAUUAGGAGGAAUACCAGUUGCGAAGGCGGCUCUCUGGACUGUAACUGACACUGAGGCACGAAAGCUUGGGGAGCAAACAGGAUUAGAUACCCUGGUAGUCCACGCCGUAAACGAUGAGUACUAGCUGUCGGGGGUUACCCCCCUCGGUGGCGCAGCUAACGCAUUAAGUACUCCGCCUGGGAAGUACGCUCGCAAGAGUGAAACUUAAAGGAACUGACGGGG
rnacentral:rRNA from 1 species